rnacentral:rRNA from 1 species
AGUGAACGCUGGCGGUAGGCCUAACACAUGCAAGUCGAACGGCAGCACAGUAAGAGCUUGCUCUUACGGGUGGCGAGUGGCGGACGGGUGAGGAAUACAUCGGAAUCUACUUUUUCGUGGGGGAUAACGUAGGGAAACUUACGCUAAUACCGCAUGCGACCUACGGGUGAAAGCAGGGGAUCUUCGGACCUUGCGCGAUUGAAUGAGCCGAUGUCGGAUUAGCUAGUUGGCGGGGUAAAGGCCCACCAAGGCGACGAUCCGUAGCUGGUCUGAGAGGAUGAUCAGCCACACUGGAACUGAGACACGGUCCAGACUCCUACGGGAGGCAGCAGUGGGGAAUAUUGGACAAUGGGCGCAAGCCUGAUCCAGCCAUACCGCGUAGGUGAAGAAGGCCUUCGGGUUGUAAAGCCCUUUUGUUGGGAAAGAAAAGCAGCAGGUUAAUACCCCGCUGUUCUGACGGUACCCAAAGAAUAAGCACCGGCUAACUUCGUG